GAUGAAGAACGCAGCGAAAUGCGAUAAGUAGUGUGAAUUGCAGAAUUCAGUGAAUCAUCGAAUCUUUGAACGCACAUUGCGCCCUUUGGUAUUCCUUAGGGCAUGCCUGUUCGAGCGUCAUUUAAACCUUCAAGCUAAGCUUGGUGUUGGGUGACUGUCCGCCUCACGGCGGACUCGCCUCAAAAUUAUUGGCGGCCGGUACAUUGGCUUCGAGCGCAGCAGAAACGCGAACUCGGGCCCGUCGGAUUGGCUCCCAGAAGCUAUCUUCACAAUUUUGACCUCGGAUCAGGUAGGGAUACCCGCUGAACUUAAGCAUAUCAAUAAGCGGAGGA
rnacentral:misc_RNA from 1 species